rnacentral:rRNA from 1 species
GACGAACGCUGGCGGCGUGCUUAACACAUGCAAGUCGAGCGGUAAGGCCCUUUCGGGGGUACACGAGCGGCGAACGGGUGAGUAACACGUGGGUGACCUGCCCUUAGCUCUGGGAUAAGCCUGGGAAACUGGGUCUAAUACCGGAUAUGACUCCAUGACGCAUGUUGUGGGGUGGAAAGCCUUGUGCGGCUAGGGAUGGGCCCGCGGCCUAUCAGCUUGUUGGUGGGGUGAUGGCCUACCAAGGCGACGACGGGUAGCCGGCCUGAGAGGGCGACCGGCCACACUGGGACUGAGACACGGCCCAGACUCCUACGGGAGGGCAGCAGUGGGGAAUCUUGCGCAAUGGGCGAAAGCCUGACGCAGCGACGCCGCGUGAGGGAUGACGGCCUGU